rnacentral:piRNA from 1 species
UUUAUUCCCCACCUCAAAAAA